rnacentral:rRNA from 1 species
AGAGUUUGAUCCUGGCUCAGGACGAACGCUGGCGGCGUGCCUAAAACAUGCAAGUCGAACGAGGCAGCAAUGCCUAGUGGCGAACGGCGGAGUAAGACGUAAGCAACGUGCCCCGAAGUCUGGGAUAUACAGUCGAAAGACUGGGCAAUACCGGAUACGGCCACCAGAAGGCAUCUUUUGGUGAUUAAACGGUUUUUCGCUCCGGGAGCGGCUUAUGGCCUAUCAGCUAGUUGGUGGGGUAACGGCCUACCAAGGCUACGACGGGUAGGGGGUCUGAGAGGAUGAUCCCCCCGAGUGGGACUGAGACACGGCCCACACACCUACGGGUGGCAGCAGUUGGGAAUCUUGCACAAUGGGGGCAACCCUGAUGCAGCGACGCCGCGUGGAGGACGAAGGAUUUAGGUCUGUAAACUCCUUUUGCCAGGAAAGACUUAGGACGGUACCUGGCGAAUAAGCUCCGGCUAACUACGUGCCAGCCGCCGCGGUAAUAC